rnacentral:tRNA from 1 species
GGGGAGUUAGCUCAGUGGUAGAGCGUUUGCUUAGCAUGUAAGAGGUCAUGGGUUCGAUACCCAUACUCUCCA